rnacentral:tRNA from 1 species
GUUAAUGUAGCAAAACAGGCAUUGCAAAAGAUCUAAGCCCUUUUUAUAGAAGUUCAAGUCUUCUCAUUAACU